CUUUUCUGCCGGUUCCUCCCGCUGAGGAAGUGUCGCUCAAGACGCUGGCCUACGAACUUCCUAGCAUGGGCUGUUGUGCUGGAGAGAACGAGAGCUACGAAGAGACUACAAUGCCUCUGACUUUUUCAUAGGACAGUUGGCCGAGGAAGACAAACAUAAAGAUGAAGUGCUUAAUUCAAGGUCACACAAUGUCGGGGAUGGACCUCCAGAUUUCCUUACUGACCUGCAUUAUCUUGUGGAUACCUGAGUGAAUUCCACACCACCCAUUUUAUAGAUGAAACCACUGAGACAUGGAGCAACUGACUGAGUAGUCACUGCCCCACCCCUGCCUGGAGCCUCACACAUGACUCGUCUCCUCUCAGUGACCACAGGUUGGUUGAGGGGUUUAACAAGGCUAAGAAGGUGAGACGUGGUCUUGUAACACAGUGGUUAAGAAUGUGACUUUGGAGCCAGCCUGCUAGGGGCUGAAUUCUGACUCAGCCAUUUACUAACUGUGUGACCUUAGGGAGGAGGACCUGGUUGAUAGAAGAAUUUAUCUCGUAGUCUUAACAUCCACUGUAAUU
rnacentral:antisense_RNA from 1 species